UUUAGCAUUUUCUUAUUGAUUGAUGUAUUGUGUAAAAUUAUUAUGAUAUCAAAUUGGGGGUAAAGAUAUGUGUGGUAGGUUUUCACUACCACCAGCGAACUCACCACCACCGCCGACGAACUACAAAGUUAGGGUUUUUAGUUUUUAUGUAUCACUCUCUCCUUGUCUUGAAUUUAUUUUUUCGAACUUAUGAAUUGCUCAAAGUAUUUGAAUUUCGAUUAAGUUAGGUUUUCUAAUUAGGACGAAUUGGUUGUUAUUUUUUGUUUAUUGAGUAGCGAUUUAUUGAAUGUUGUUAAUUUCCCGUAUUGUAUUGAUUAUAGAUGAAUUUUUUGAUUAGGAUUAAGUAGUGGAAGUUAUAUUAUUUGAGUUGCACACUAAGUGUUUGAUAAAAUGUCGAAUGAGUUUUUGAGUUGUUGUGAUUUAUUUGGAUAUACCCUCAGGUUGGUCUCGUUGCUUUUGCCGACUUCCCUUUUUGCCUCACCAACAACAAUUCAUCGCCUUCGUUUACCCACAAAUCCACUCUACAAAUAUUGGUCUCUCACUCUAUAUAUCUCUCCCAUGGUUGAAGGGUUUCCAAUUGAAUUGUUUGAGUUGUUAACUCUAUGUUUCUGAAUUCAAUUACUUGAAUUUUGAACUUUUAGGUAUAAGACAUAUAAGUCAAAAAGGAUUGCGGCAGAAAUACGAGUUGUGCUUAGGAUUCUGAGUCAGAUUGCUGAACAUAUUAUAAGUCUUGAGGAAUAGGGAAUUGUUCAGGUUAAAGAGCUUUCCAGAAUGAGCGCAAUUGUUUAGGAGUUGUCGAAUUUGCAUAAGGUAAGGUAAUGAUACAACUCAAGCUUUGUAAUUUGAUUGAAGGGUUUUACCAGCAUAUAUACUUGGCAAAGUUAAUUUAGAUUCAGUAUUAACUAAUUCAGUGAAUUUUAGAAACACAAUUAUUGGGUUUAGUAAUUAUUUGUCUAUAGUUUUAUCAAAUGUCUAUUAGAAAGGGAGAAAAAUCUAUGCAAUCAGGGAUUAUGUAAACCUAGUUUUUGGCAACUUUGAUAUUUAAAAUAUCUAUUAUUUGUCAUUGUUAUAGACGUGUAGUUUCAUCGAUCUCUUCUUUUAGUAGAUUUCUUUUCUUGUAUGAUAAUAGUUAGUUGUGAUUACAUAUGCUAAAAGAUGUGAUAGAGUUAUUUAGUCACUCUAAGUGGUCUCUUGACACCUUAUAGGCAAGCUUACCUUUAAAUGUGUGGAUCAAUGUUCUGUUUGUACUGAAUUGAAGCUAUGCAAGCACCAAUAGUGCAUGAAAAGACUCAAAGAAUGGAUCUGUUUCUACUCAAAUAUAUGAAUUGUUUUCAUUUAUGAAAAGUACUCAAGUUUCUUUCAUGAACUUCUUUUGGUUUGUUUACAGAGAGAUGCAAAGUGAAGGCUUGCGGAUACGAAACAAAAGCCAAAUUCCAUGGGAGUAUCAUCCUCUGCCAUAUUUUUCUGUAAUUUCUAGAAGAGUUGGUGAUCCUAGCAAAUUCUGGAGAUUUUUUGGUGUUUAUAUGUUGAAAUUUGUGGUGGCAGUGCUACACCGGCAACUAUCAUGUAUUCGCUGAGAGGCACCCUCCUAUUUCAAACUAGCAACUGAGCAACAAGCCUUGUAACUGAAUUUAAGGUGCAUUUUGCAAUGUUGUUGAUAUUCUAGCUCCAUACGACAAGGGGAGGAAAGAUUAGGUUGUUUAUUCUGAGAUGCUGGUGUCGGGAAAAAUAUGGUUAUUCUGGAACUAAUCAACAACGUUGCUAAAACUCAUGGUGGCUCACCCAUUGUGUUUCAUCUUUUAUUUGCCGACAACAAAUGUACUCGUCUACGUCUCUGUGGUCAAAUGAAUGAGCCAACCAAUGCUCGUGCCCAUGUUGGUCUUACUUGAAUGGCUAUUGCAGAACACUAGAUUUUAUUAACAGCUUUUCCCGUUUCUUAAUAUUUUUUAUAUUGAGUCUAUACGGGGUUGAACGUGGUUUUAUUCUUGUAUAUGCACAAUUUUUAGUUAAUAUAAGUGUAUAUUUUUAGAUUUAUGGCCGUGGUCGAUCAUGAAUUAUUGGUAUUUGUUUGUACGGUGAUUUGGAUGAUUUUUCUAAUUGCUGCUUGAUUGUAAUGUUAACAAUUAUUUAUGUGCUUUUAGGUAACGUUGGAGGAUGAG